AAAGCAGAGAUAGUGUGUAUCGGCUAUGUGCUAAAUAAGUGCACUUUGGUCGAAAGAGUUCUCUGCAAAAACAAUUUGACAGGGUGAAGGUGGGCAGUUGUGUUCCAAUUUUUCCAUUGGAAUCUUCAACAAUCAUUUUCUCCACAUUA
rfam:Helianthus annuus linkage group 4, whole genome shotgun sequence.